rnacentral:misc_RNA from 1 species
GAAAUGCGAUAAGUAAUGUGAAUUGCAGAAUUCAGUGAAUCAUCGAAUCUUUGAACGCACAUUGCGCCCCCUGGCAUUCCGGGGGGCAUGCCUGUUCGAGCGUCAUUUCAACCCUCAAGCCCUGCUUGGUAUUGGGCCUGCGCCGGCAUGCCGGCGGGCCUCAAGAUCAGUGGCGGUGCCGCCCGGCUCCAAGCGCAGUAACGCAUCUCGCUUCUGGACGCCCGGGCGGCUGCCAGCCAGCAAACCCAUCUUCUCAGGUUGACCUCGGAUCAGGUAGGGAUACCCGCUGAACUUAA